AACGAACGCUGGCGGCAGGCUUAACACAUGCAAGUCGAGCGCCCCGCAAGGGGAGCGGCAGACGGGUGAGUAACGCGUGGGAACGUACCCUUUGCUACGGAAUAGCUCCGGGAAACUGGUAUUAAUACCGUAUGUGCCCUACGGGGGAAGGAUUGAUCGGCAAAGGAUCGGUCCGCGUUGGAUUAGCUAGUUGGUGGGGUAAUGGACUACCAAGGCGACGAUCCAUAGCUGGUCUGAGAGGAUGAUCAGCCACAUUGGGACUGAGACACGGCCCAAACUCCUACGGGAGGCAGCAGUGGGGAAUAUGGGACAAUGGGCGCAAGCCUGAUCCAGCGAUGCCGCGUGAGUGAUGAAGGCCUUAGGGUUGUAAAGCUCUUUAACCGGAGAAGAUAAUGGCGGUAUCCGGAGAAGAAGCCCCGGCUAACUUCGUGCCAGCAGCCUCGGUAACAC
rnacentral:rRNA from 1 species